ACGGGGUUUCGUCAUGUUGGCCAGGCGGGAGACCCAAGUUCUUAUUUCCAGAGGAAGCCUUCAGGUACUAGACUUCAGAGAGAAUAGGUUGUAAAAUGUUUAUCCGACAGACCUGGGGGCGUGGCUUCCAAUGAAGACCAGCCCUAGAAGGCGGGGCUGGGAGACUGCGAAGUCGGAGGGGUUGAGGGGGCUUCAGGCAGAGUGGGUGGAGCAAAGGAGAGGGCUCAGGCUUGGGGGGCGGGACUUGGGUGGGUCCUCCAUUCUGGUUGGCCAAGCCUCUAUGUCCCAAAUAAAAGUCUCUACCUUCCCGAGAACUUAUUACAAUAGAACACCAGAUUUCCAGAGGUAUCUGCCAGUCCACAGAGUGAAUCACGUUUCCAUUCAUCCCGUUUCUUCUAUAGGCCCUUGAAGAGAGUUUUAACAUUUUCUUCUUAAAUCGGUUGUAUCUUUCGGUGAGGUUUUUAAAUCACAAAUGUAGGCCAGACGCAGUCGCUCACACCUGUAAUCCUGGCACUUUGGGAGGUUGAGGCAGGAUCCUUUGAAUCCAGGAGUUCUAGACCAGCCUGGGCAACAUAGGGAGACCCUGUCUCUAUGAAACAUUAAAAUUAAAAUUAAAAAAAGAAAAAUAGCCCGGGUGCGAUGGCUCAAGCCUGUAAUCCCAGCACUUUGGGAGGNNNNNNNNNNUUUCACUGUGUUAGCCAGGAUGGUCUUGAUCUGCUCACCUUGUGAUCCACCCGCCUCGGUCUCCCAAAGUGCUGGGAUUACAGGCGUGAGUCACCGCACCCGGCCAAGAGGUGUUUUAUCAUGUUGGCCAGGCUGGUCUUGAACUCCUGACCUCAGGUGAUCCACCCGCCUCAGCCUCCCAAAGUGCUGGGAUUAUAGGUGUGAGCCACCAUGCCCGGCCAAUUUUCGUACUUUUAGUAGAGACGAGGUUUGACCAUGUUUGCCAGGCUGGUCUUGAACUCCUGACUUCAGGUUAUCUGUCCAACUCAGCCUCCCAAAGUGCUGGGAUUACAGGUAUGAUGAAAAUGCUUUUUCAAGUGAUAACUUUCCAAUAGGGAAGGAAGGUUUAAAGGUAAGUUUCAAAAAGCA
rnacentral:lncRNA from 1 species